CGAGAGGACCGGGAUGGACAAACCUCUGGUGCACCAGUUGUCGUGCCAACGGCAUAGCUGGGUAGCUACGUUUGGACGGGAUAAGCGCUGAAAGCAUCUAAGUGCGAAGCCCCCCACAAGAAUAGAUUUCCUGUCUUUAUGACUAAGACCCGUGAGAGACUAUCACGUUGAUAGGUCGGAGGUGUAAGUGUAGUAAUACAUUCAGCUGACCGAUACUAAUAGGUCGAGCACUUAAUCAA
rnacentral:rRNA from 1 species